CGGCACCGAGGAGCGGGCCGGGCCCGGAGCAGCCCUGUAAUUAAAACCCACCCGCAUCUUCUAGGAUUACAGAGCAGUAUCGUUUAUCUAGGAAACGGAGAACCCGGCAUAGUUGUGGAGGAGAUUAGAAAGCCCAUCUUUAUUUCAACCCCCAAUCCCUUUCAAGAACUCUUUUUGUCGGCAGUAUCCUCGCUCCUUGAUAGAACUGUAAUGUGUGUCAUCCUUGGUACAGCUUCCGAACUUCCAUGUGUUUUCAGAGUUUGUUUUUUGUUGUUUACCUAGUUAGCGCCAUCCAUCCAUCCAUCCGUCCAUCCAUCCAUCCAUCCAUCCAUCCAUCCAUCCCUCCAGCGUUUACUGGUUGUGCUUGGAGAACCCAUCCCUGUGCUAAAGACAGAAUGACUAAUGAGAUCUUCUGUCCCGAAUUUCACGUUCUUCUAGAAAAGGGUGGUGCGCAGGCAGAUGGGGGGCGAUACUAGGUGGAGCUAAAUUAAGACAUUCUGGGAACACAGACCACACCACCUCACAGGGAAGGGAGGCGAGCGGUUUCUCCCGGAUGGGCUGCACGGGGCUGGAGCUCAAGAAGGAGGGGGAUCGUAAUUGAAAUGCUGACCAAGCUGGCUCGGGGCAGGAGGAACCCGUCAGCCCAGGAUCUAAGAUACAGACCUGCACGAGGGCGCAGGUGUCCUGGGAACAGCUCAGAGCCUCCUUCACCAGCCUUGGCCUCGGGACUUUAGGAAGAGCUGUUACAUACACCUGUUAUUCAGGAAAUUCUCUGAAAUUUUACUUGGUGCAAGUGAGCCCUGCCAAAGAUUCACCCCCUAAAGUUACAAAGAUCGUAACUGCCCUAAAUGACUCCCGCCAAAGCGCUCUGAGCAGGUGCGCGCACACCGCUGACUGCUUUAUUCUCAGAGCUGGGUGGGGCACCCAGAGUUACUAGGACCGGGGACAGGACGCCCUGGGCAACGGACAGAGCGUUUGGAGACGGUGUGGGCUUCAGUCCGCCCAGCUCGCGGCUGUGACGGAAAUCCCCUCGUGCGCCAUCAGUAGCGCGUGCGGAAGCAUUGGGCGUGGCGCUUCUGGGGCAGGUGCACUUGAGCCAGGGCGCUGGUUCCACUCUGGCUCUGCCACUUACCAGCCGCGUGGUUGGUUUGUUGUAUGAUGUGGGUGAGAUUGCUUCACAUCUCCUUUCCUCUUCUGUAAAAUGGGGCUAGUGAAAGCAAGGGCCUCACAGGACGGUGGUGAGGGUUGUGCGUGUUUGCAUGAUUUAUCACAGGAGAACCGUGCCUGGCAUAAGAGAUGUUUGCUAUCGUUUUUAUCGCUACUAGUGUGUGCUCAGCCUGUGUUACAGUUCAUCUGCGCUUUUAGGAAUCUCCUUCAUAAAAAAUAAAAAUCAUACAUUGUAGUGUGGUCACAUAAACCCCAAUGUCACUGGACCUCCCGAAAGGCACCACUUACUCAUCAAAUUAUUCACCAAAGUAUGUCACCAGCCACCCUGUCCAUUUCCUUUUCUUUUCUUUUUUUUAAUGUUUAUUUUUGAGAGAGAGAGAGAGAGAGAGAGAGCGAGCAUGGAAGGGCACAGAGACAGGGGGAGACAGAAUCCUAAGCAGGCUCCAGGCUCCGAGCUGUCAGCACAGAGCCCCAAGUGGGGGUUGAACCCAUGAACUGUGAGAUCAUGACCUGAGCCGAAGUCGGUCGCUCAACCGACUGAGCCCCCCCACCCCCCCAGUCACUCCUACCCUGUCCAUUUCUAAACUACACAGACUAUGUUACCUAAGUUGGUUUUAGUUUUCUUUUAUUCACUGAGUAUCUCCAUGCUUGAAACCUCGUAGCUCUCUCCCAGACACGCUGGGUGUGGACCACUUCUCCCGUCUCCCGACACCAUGCAGCACCGUGCUCUUGGUGGCCAGACAGCAGUGUUACUGGGAUGUGUUUCAAAAUGAAGAAGCAUCUUGGGAUCGAUGCUUCUUCACGCCUGGCUUUGGACUUUGUAAUUCUGCACACAUAGUGUGAUGGCCCUCCUAAAACUCCACUCUGUACUACGAAGAGGAAACAUGAACCAGGCAUUGGGGUGAAGAUCAGAGCCUCGCGGAACAUCGGUUCAUCCACAGCCUGGGCUCCCUCCUGACCCACCAGCUCUAGGCCCCCUCCAAAACUGCCAACUCGUUUUAACUGGGGCCCAAAGAAGACAUCAUCUUGAAAAGUAAUAUUGGUGUGAACAGCCGAGGCAAACCAACACAUUCUUUUUUUUUUUUUUUUUAAUUUUUUUUUUUUCCAACGUUUAUUUAUUUUUGGGACAGAGAGAGACAGAGCAUGAACGGGGGAGGGGCAGAGAGAGAGGGAGACACAGAAUCGGAAACAGGCUCCAGGCUCUGAGCCAUCAGCCCAGAGCCCGACGCGGGGCUCGAACUCACGGACCGCGAGAUCGUGACCUGGCUGAAGUCGGACGCUUAACCGACUGCGCCACCCAGGCGCCCCUACAUUCUUUAAUCCAAUAGAAAAUUCUGGAGCUUCCUGUGAGUUUGUAAGACUGUGUGACAGUUCUGUCUGUGGCUUUCUUUGUUGAUGAACCUCACAUCGAGUGCCGGCUGCUCACCAGGAGGAUGGUGUCUUUCUGGUGUUGAGGGAGGCACACGUGGGGACAGCACGGGCGCCGUCCCCAGGGCCUCUGGGACCUGACGGGUGUGGAUGGAGACGUCGAUGGAGCAACAGGCUGGGCAGGACGUGGACGGCACCCAGGAGGAGCUCCUUACAAGCAGUACGUGUCACGGAAACUCACAUAAGCUUCCUAAGUCGAUUGACAAAUACAGUUUUUUUUUAUUUUUUUAAUGUUUACUUAGUUUUGAUAGAGCAUGAGCGGGGGAGGGGCAGAGAGAGAGGGAGACCCAGAAUCCGAAGCAGGCUCCAGGCUCCGACUGUCAGCACAGAGCCCGACUCGGGGCUUGAACUCACGCGAGAUCACGCGAGAUCACGCGAGAUCAUGACCUGAGCCGAAGUCGGACGCUCAACCGACUGAGCCACCCGGGCGCCCCGACAAAUACGUUUUUUUUUUUUUUAAAGCUGCCUGUAAUUAUUUAAAGGAUUCUUUUUAGCAACCUAUAUUACGAUGAAGCAUAUUUAAUUUUAAAUCAACUAAUUUCCACGUUAGAGACACAAACAAUGUUCCCAUUAGGAUAUCGUACGAUCAUUAAAAAAAAUUCAUUGUUCAUAGUGAAGAAACUCAUGGAAAGAAACUGUAAAACUUCGGUUUAGGUUUCUGUGAAGAAGAAACUCCUUCAGGGGGAAACGCUACAUAAAUGACAUUUAAAUAAGACUUGUUCUUGAAACACUUUCUGACUACAGUCAAGAAGGGAGCCUGUCACUGUCACCUACGUAUCCACCCUGACACGUCCCUUUUCACCAUCUGCCGCAGCAGCCCCCAGAAGCAGUGUUCGGGGCAACACCUGAUGGCGAUCACUCGGGAAAGAAGUCCUUCCUGAUGCCACGACCAGGUGCGGGGUUUCGGUUACUUCAUGUGGCCAGGACGGGCACCCUGCCCAGAGUCCUGCAGGACUCCCUUACUGGAAUUCUGAUUCUAGAACCAACCAGCACAUGGAGGGAAAACUGUGACUCCCAGCCCGAGGAAAUUGGGCGAUAACCUCGUCAACAGGAUUGCUGAGGCCUCGGGGCUGUUAGAUGCAAAACGGGCUGACUCUUCCCCCAUCUGUUUUUUUUUUUUUUUUUUUUUAAUUUUUUUUUUCAACGUUUAUUUAUUUUUGGGACAGAGAGAGACAGAGCAUGAACGGGGGAGGGGCAGAGAGAGAGGGAGACACAGAAUCGGAAACAGGCUCCAGGCUCCGAGCCAUCAGCCCAGAGCCUGACGCGGGGCUCGAACUCACGGACCGCGAGAUCGUGACCUGGCUGAAGUCGGACGCUUAACCGACUGCGCCACCCAGGCGCCCCUGUUUGUUUUUUUUUAAGUUCAUUUUGGGAGAGGGGGAGCGUGCAUGCACACAAGCAGGGGAGGGCAGAGAGAGGGAGAGAACCCCAGGCAGGCUCUGCACUGUCAGCACAGAGCCCGACAUGGGGCUCGAUCCCAGAACCAUGAGAUCAUGACCCUAGCUGAGAUCAGGAGUCAGACGCUUAAUCGACUGAGCCCCCAGGCGUCCCUACUCCCCAUCUGUUUUCAGGCAAAAUCACAGCAACGGGCCACUCAGGGAGGAGGGGAGACAGAGCUACUCCUGUGGAGCUUCUUUAACACCUUUCGGGAAAGGAAGUGGUCCCUCUGCGUAAUGUCCUCAUUUCUCCUGUGGACUCUGACCCGCCCAUUCUUCAAGGUUUGGGAGAGACUCGGAAGAGGCCCGAAGUGGUGCUUGGGGACCGUCUUCCAGAAGCGCUGGCCAGGAGCUUCCGGUGGGGGGUGGGUGGGGAGGGCUGGCCUCCCGGCUCCUAACUCGGCAUCACCGUGCCUGACGUCGAGUGGCAGGCCGUCUUGGGGCCCGGCCGGUAACACCCGUGUGCGGCAUCGCCUUGGCUGGCUGGACGUGAGCAGGGACUGACCUGGUCCCGGGGUGCACAGCUGGGCACGUGGCUGAGCCGGGAGGGGCUCUCGUGGCCGCAUCACUGAUAUCCAGGCAAGGGGGCCUCUGCCCACCGGCUCUAACCGCAGCCGGGUUCCCCGGGGAGCCCGGGGCCCGAGCGUCCGCGGAACAGCAUGAAACCGUCUCUGCUGCAAAUAUCCCUCAAGAGGACAGUUUCACAACUUUCACGUGUGCCGAGGAGUAGACGUGGUAUUGUCACUAGGACUCUAGAGGCGGGAUUUUCGAGAGGAUUGUUCAUCUUUCUCUGGGUGGCUGGGCCGAGAACCGGUUCCGUCUCUCCCCGGCCAGCAGACGGCCCCGGCGGGCCACACCACGGGCUGCUCUGGAUUGUGUUGGUUCCUUUGUGGAGCGAGAGCCCGUGCUUCAUUGUAGCUACAACAUACCCCACGCUUCCCAGCCCGAGUCUCUUGGGCCUCACACUCAUGCUGUAGGGCUUUCAAAACACAGAGCCCCAAGCGUAAGCUUUAAAAAUGCGUCCUGUUCUCUGCCGUUCCUUUCGGCCUGUGAUGAUUUACAAGAAGACAACUCUUAGGGUUUUCUUGGAACCGAGUCCAGCCAGAGAAAGAACCAGGAAGUUCUGGGGCCCUUUCUCAGCCACAAAAAGAAAUAAAAUACUAGCUUGGUUCUCUGAGGUCUACGGUCUUAGGCGGAGUGCAGAAGUGUGAAAGAACGAGCCUGAGAACACAGCCAGUCCCUCUGACUUUCUGCCCGACGUGAAGGUUCACGGGUGGAUACUUUUACCCGUUUCCCCCACCGCUGACUCUGGCAGCCGCCAGUCUCUUCUCUGCAUCUGUGAAGUUUGAGUACGAUUUGUCAGUACAUCUCAGACCUUCCCUUGAGUGACCUCACUGAUGAGAAAGCACCACUGGGUCCCUGGGGAGACACCACGAGCUUUGCUUACACAGUGCGUACAGGUUUCCAGUUCGUUGUCACGCUGCCUCGCUGUGGGCCAGCGGUCACGGCCACCUCGCCGGGGCAUGGCCGCCGGGGCCGGGAUGGACAGCACUGAGCCUGCACCACAGCGGGGCUGGGCCACAGCUGAGUAAACAGGAGAGCCUCCUCCACCACCCGCGCCCCCGGGCAGGCCAGGCUUUCAGCUUACUCUGCGUUUCCCUGUGUCCCGGGACUCUGCUUUGCACACAGCGGACGUGCCCUGAAAGUUACUGUUAAAGAUAUCUGGAAAGGAGAGACAGAGGAAGGGAGGGAGAGAGAGAGAGAGAGAGAGAGAGAGAGAGAGAGAGAGAAUUGAAUGUCUUGAAUUUUCAACUUGAAGACAUUUACUGCUAACAUAAUGGGAAAGUUUUUUUUUCUUAAUGUUUGUUUAUUUUUGAGGGAGAGAGAAAGAGAACGAGUAGGGGAGGGGCAGAGAGAGGGAGACACGGAAUCCAAAGCAGGCUCCAGGCUCCGCGAGCUGUUUCAGCACAGAGCCCGACACGGCGCUUGAACUCACGAACCAGGAGACCAUGAUCUGAACCGCAGUCGGACACUUAAUCAGCUGAGUCCCCUAGGCGCCCCGGGAAUAGUUUUUUAGUAAUAGCAGCAGGAGGAACAGGGCAGGCAAGUGUAAAUGCUGAACCCUGAACGUAGGCGAGGUAGAAACCAGGAGAGGUUGAGGGAAGGUGAUUGUCAUGGAUCUCAGUGGAGAGGCUAACACAUCCUACAUGUGGUUUCCUUCCCUGUAAGUUCUCUUCUUCAGAAAGCUGGGACACGGUCGGGCCGUCCCUUUACGUUCGUGGUAAAACUGCCAAGAUCCUUCCAGGCUGGGGACUCUCAGAAGGUUUUGCCAACUUGGGAAAGAUAUUUCAUGACUUUACGGUUCACCUGCACGUGCUCACAUCUGCCUUCCACAUACUUCCUUUUUAAUUCUUCUUCUUCUUCUUCUUCUUCUUCUUCUUCUUCUUCUUCUUCUUCUUCUUCUUCUUCUUCUUUUGUUGUUGCUUUGGCUUUUUUUUGCUGUGCAUGGACUGUUUGUGGGGAAUUGCUUCCCUGAGGUUUUAAAGACACGAUUCCAAGAAUGAGCAGUGCAGACCGAUUUCGGAGUUAGGCCUCUGAGGCCAGAGCAGGUCCUUCCUCCCAGUAUCUUUUGCCACUUAAUUUGAAUCAACUGGAAAAGACUGUAGGAAAACUCAUAUUAAUACAAUUAAUAAGGUCAAUUAUGCUCUCUCACUGACCGUUCUUUACAUAUACAUCUCAUUACUUUGAAAAUAAGCUGUUGAUAUUUGACUGCUUUUUAGCCGCAAAAUGAGUUUUGUUCAGAUCAACCCUAUGUGUUUAAAGCCCUCUACCUGAAUUGGGUUCUCCUUCGGGGGCCUCACAGUCAGGGCAGGAACAGGGGAGAGAACACUUCCAAAAAUCCCUAAAUUAUUCUGUAUAUCUUCUCCAUCAAACUCUCCAGCAGCCCAAAGUCACAAACCCGUUUCCCACCAAACGUGAGUCCCCUAACCUGAAAGUCAGGGGCAGCGCAGUAGACCCCACUGACACAGAAUAACCCCACUGAAAAGUGCACAUUCAAACGCCCUCUCUCUCUCUAUCUCUCUCUCCCAUAAACAGGAACAAGAAGAAUGUGGUGACACCAUAUGGAAACACCUGAUGUUCCACAAAGGAAGAGGCUCCUGACGGAUCCGUGAGGAAGGCCAGCUCUCAGGGCAGUAAUUGUGUUUUUCUAACACCUGGGCAAGUGAAUUAUGGACACCCCCCGGGGGUGAACAGUGCGCACGCAGACGCAUCAGGACUGCUGCUGAUGCUGCGAGGCGAGACUAAUAUAAAUGGGAGUCGUACAAAUAAAAGCUCCGUGGGGGGGCUCUCUACCGAAGCCCGAGUUCAAGUCCCCCUUCUGAAGUUUAGAGACAGCCUGCCUGGGUGGUGUUUGUCCUCGGACCCAGUGAGGAGACCCGGAGUGAUGAACACUGACUCGGAAGGAGGGGGCAUGCCCCGGUGGGUCAGCCGUACCCAGUAGCCCAGUGCUUUGGGGACGGAGCCGCGGAUACCCGGCCGGUGCCUGCGCGGGACCCUCAUGAAAGCAUCAGUGCUGCGGCCUGGGGACCAAGCCACGGAGACCCCGACGCCCGGCUGGCCAUCAGUAGCGUGCCUGCGGUUCAGCAGCUCAGCCGAGAGUGCAUCUAGGGCCGACCGCCUCCUGCACGCGGGAGAGGGCAGCGCUGUGUGAGCGCCACGGGGGCUGUGGACGCAGAAGUGAAAUCUGAUCGCGGGCCAGGAAAAGCCUGCGCAGCUAGAGCCCAGAGGAACCGCCGACCUUGAGUCAGGGCGCGGUCAUG
rnacentral:lncRNA from 1 species